UGAGGAAUAUUGGGCAAUGCCCGCAAGGGUGACCCAGCAGCGCCGCGUGGAGGAUGAAUGUCGUAAGAUUGUAAACUCCUGUUAGAGGGGAAGAAUAGUACCGGUUGGACCGGUAUAUGACUGUACCCUCAGAGAAAGCCCCGGCUAACUACGUGCCAGCAGCCGCGGUAAUACGGAGGGUGCAAGCGUUAUCCGGAUUCACUGGGUUUAAAGGGUGCGUAGGUGGGUAUGUAAGUCAGUGGUGAAAUCCCCGAGCUUAACUUGGGAACUGCCAUUGAUACUAUAUAUCUCGAAUACCGUAGAGGUAAGCGGAAUAUGUCAUGUAGCGGUGAAAUGCUUAGAUAUGACGUGGAACACCAAUUUCGAAGGCAGCUUACUAUGCGGUGAUUGACACUGAGGCACGAAAGCGUGGGUAUCAAACA
rnacentral:rRNA from 1 species